rnacentral:rRNA from 1 species
AACGAACGCUGGCGGCGUGCCUAACACAUGCAAGUCGAGCGCGAACGAUUCCUUCGGGGAUCUAGUAGAGCGGCGAACGGGUGAGUAACGCGUGGGUAACCUGCCCUUUGGUGGGGAAUAACUCCGGGAAACUGGGGGCUAAUGCCGCAUCAGCUCCUUGUCCCUGCGGGGACUUGGAGGAAAGCAUGCCUCUGCUUCAAGCAUGCGCCAGAGGAGGGGCCCGCGUCCCAUUAGCUUGUUGGUGGGGUAAUGGCCUACCAAGGCGACGAUGGGUAGCCGGCCUGAGAGGGUGUCCGGCCACACUGGGACUGAGACACGGCCCAGACUCCUACGGGAGGCAGCAGUGGGGAAUAUUGCGCAAUGGGCGAAAGCUUGACGCAGCGACGCCGCGUGGGGGAUGACGGUCUUCGGAUUGUAAACCCCUGUCGUACGGGACGAACAACCUGGGGAUGAAUAAGCCUCAGGCCUGACGGUACCGUGCAAGAAAGCCCCGGCUAACUCCGUG